rnacentral:rRNA from 1 species
GACGAACGCUGGCGGCAUGCCUAACACAUGCAAGUCUAGGGGUAGCAAUACCACUGGCGCACGGGGUGAGUAACACGUAGGUUAUCUGCCCCCAUCACAGACAUAACCCCGGGAAACCGGGGCUAAUAUCUGAUGAGGUCGCGAGAUCAAAGCUUCGGCGGAUGGGGAUGAGCCUGCGGCUGAUUAGCUAGUUGGUGAGGUAAUGGCUCACCAAGGCGACGAUCAGUAGCUGGUCUGAGAGGACGAACAGCCACACUGGAACUGAGACACGGUCCAGACUCCUACGGGAGGCAGCAGUGAGGAAUAUUGGUCAAUGGGAGCAAUCCUGAACCAGCAAUGCCGCGUGUGGGAUGACAGGGCUUCGCCUUGUAAACCACUGUCGGACGGGACGAAAGGAGGCCUCGGGCCUCUGGGACGGUACCGUCAAAGGAAGGGUCGGCUAACUACGUGCCAGCAGCCGCGGUAAU